ACUCUCUCUCUCUCUCUCUCCUUUGAAUUUUCAUACAAAAAUCAUGAUCUAUGAAGAUCUAACCGUCCAAACUCAAAUUCGAUUUCAGUAACAUGAUUUACAAAGCCCGAUCUACGUUUUUCACCGAUCGUUUUGAGGCUUAAUGUUAUUUGAAGCUUGUAAAGAUUCUCCAAACACCAAGUAUUAUUUGGUAAUGCAUUGCAUGGUGGUGUCUAAGAGACCUAGUACUUAAUAUCAGCGCAGCCAAGACAUUGAUGAUUUGGUUGCAGGUUCUGAGGAUAUAGAUAUUGACUCGUCCACCUAGCGUUUGGGAUGCUAUGAUUGGAGCAUAUCGCGACAGUCAUAAGUCGCGGACUCAAGGGUAGUCUGUAUUUUGGGGACUCAAGAUGGCCAAUAUAUGGCUCACAGGAUCUUCUCCACAAGGAAACAAGAGCUCAAGAUCACCAACGGUACUCACAAUAUCUUUUCCACAAGGAAAUAACAUUUCAUGGCAGAGACCUUACCAUUUCAACUACCUAGCCUCAUAUCCUACUGUAAUAUCUUGUCUAUAAAUUUAUUUUUUUAUUUUUUAA